CAGUAGCCGCGGUAAUACGAAGGGUGCAAGCGUUAAUCGGAAUUACUGGGCGUAAAGCGUGCGUAGGCGGUGAGUUAAGUCUGCUGUGAAAUCCCCGGGCUCAACCUGGGAAUGGCAGUGGAUACUGGCUCGCUAGAGUGUGUCAGAGGAUGGUGGAAUUCCCGGUGUAGCGGUGAAAUGCGUAGAGAUCGGAAGGAACAUCAGUGGCGAAGGCGGCCAUCUGGGACAACACUGACGCUGAGGCACGAAAGCGUGGGGAGCAAACAGGAUUAGAUACCCCAGUAGUCCCUGUCUCUUAUAC
rnacentral:rRNA from 1 species